rnacentral:rRNA from 1 species
AGCCCAAACCAAGAGGCUUGCCUCUUGGGGUUGUAGGACACUCUAUACGGAGUUACAAAGGAAUGAUAUAAGCGAAGAGGUCUGGAAAGGCCCGCCAAAGAAGGUAACAGCCCUGUAACUGAAAUGUCGUUCUCUCCAGAGUGGAUCCUGAGUACGGCGGAACACGUGAAAUUCCGUCGGAAUCCGGGAGGACCAUCUCCCAAGGCUAAAUACUCCCUAGUGACCGAUAGUGAACCAGUACCGUGAGGGAAAGGUG